rnacentral:rRNA from 1 species
GAGGGGAUUAGUGGCGAACGGGUGAGUAACACGUGGGCAAUCUGCCCUGCACUCUGGGACAAGCCCUGGAAACGGGGUCUAAUACCGGAUACUGACCCGCUUGGGCAUCCAAGCGGUUCGAAAGCUCCGGCGGUGCAGGAUGAGCCCGCGGCCUAUCAGCUUGUUGGUGAGGUAAUGGCUCACCAAGGCGACGACGGGUAGCCGGCCUGAGAGGGCGACCGGCCACACUGGGACUGAGACACGGCCCAGACUCCUACGGGAGGCAGCAGUGGGGAAUAUUGCACAAUGGGCGAAAGCCUGAUGCAGCGACGCCGCGUGAGGGAUGACGGCCUUCGGGUUGUAAACCUCUUUCAGCAGGGAAGAAGCGAAAGUGACGGUACCUGCAGAAGAAGCGCCGGCUAACUACGUGCCAGCAGCCGCGGUAAUACGUAGGGCGCGAGCGUUGUCCGGAAUUAUUGGGCGUAAAGAGCUCGUAGGCGGCUUGUCACGUCGGUUGUGAAAGCCCGGGGCUUAACCCCGGGUCUGCAGUCGAUACGGGCAGGCUAGAGUUCGGUAGGGGAGAUCGGAAUUCCUGGUGUAGCGGUGAAAUGCGCAGAUAUCAGGAGGAACACCGGUGGCGAAGGCGGAUCUCUGGGCCGAUACUGACGCUGAGGAGCGAAAGCGUGGGGAGCGAACAGGAUUAGAUACCCUGGUAGUCCACGCCGUAAACGGUGGGCACUAGGUGUGGGCGAC